UUCGCAAUGCCCGAAAGGGUGAACGAGCGACGCCGCGUGCGGGAUGAAGGGUUUCGGGUUGUAAAGCCCUGUCACCUGGGAAGAAUGGCGGGAGGUGAAUAACCAUCUCGUCUGACGCUACCAGGGGAGGAAGCACCGGCUAAAUACGUGCCAGCAGCCGCGGUAAUACGUAUGGUGCGAACGUUGUUCGGAAUCACUGGGCAUAAAGAGCACGUAGGCGGUUGAGCAAGUCCGUUGUGAAAUCCCCCGGCUUAACCGGGGAACUGCAGCGGAUACUACUUGACUUGAGUGCAGGAGGGGAGAGUGGAAUUCCAGGUGGAGCGGUGAAAUGCGUAGAUAUCUGGAGGAACGCCGGUGGCGAAAGCGACUCUCUGGUCUGUUACUGACGCUGAGGUGCGAAAGCUAGGGGAGCAAACGGGAUUAGAUACCCCGGUAGUCCUAGCCCUAAACGAUGGGCACUAAGUAGAGGGGUUUU
rnacentral:rRNA from 1 species